GAUGAAGAACGCAGCGAAAUGCGAUAAGUAAUGCGAAUUGCAGAAUUCCAGUGAGUCAUCGAAUCUUUGAACGCACAUUGCGCCCUUUGGUAUUCCGAAGGGCAUGCCUGUUCGAGCGUCAUUAUCACCCCUCAAGCCCUCGGCUUGGUGUUGGACGGUUUGGUGGAGGCCCCCUCGGGGGCUCCUGCCCCUCCCAAAGACAAUGACGGCGGCCUCGUUGGACCCCCGGUACACUGAGUUCUUCCCGGGACACGUAUCGGACACAUGGGUUUACGGGACACGGUCUGCCUCCCCUCAGGGAGAAUCUUUCUAAGGUUGACCUCGGAUCAGGUAGGGAUACCCGCUGAACUUAAGCAUAUCAAUAAGCGGAGGA
rnacentral:misc_RNA from 1 species